rnacentral:rRNA from 1 species
AACAUGGUUUUUUGAAUUUAAUUUUAAAUCGGGCCUGCUCCAUGAAAUUAUUUAAAUAGCUGCAGUAUUUUGACUGUACAAAGGUAGCAUAAUCAAUAGUUUUUUAAUUAAAAGCUAGAAUGAAAGGUUUGAUAAGGUAAAUAUUGUCUCAAUUUUAGUGGAGUUAUAAUUUUAUUUGUAGUAAAAAUUCUAUGAUAAAUUUAAAAGACGAGAAGACCCUGUAGAAUUUUAUAAUUUUAUUAAUAUUUAAUAAUAUUAAUAUUUAUUAUUUUAUUAAUAAAAUUAUUUGGUUGGGGAAAUUAUUAAAUUUAUAUAAUUUUAAUAUUUAAUAGCCAGUAAUUAUUGAAUUAUUGAUCUUUUAUUAAGAAUUUAAAGAAAAAAUUACCUUAGGGAUAACAGCGUAAUUUUUUUGGAGAGUUCAUAUUGAUAAAAAAGUUUGCGACCUCGAUGUUGAAUUAAGAUAAAAUUUUAGUGUAGAAGUUAAAAAUUUUUGGUCUGUUCGACCAUUAAAAUCUUACGUGAUCU